rnacentral:rRNA from 1 species
UCUGGUGCCAAUGGCAAAGAGGUCACACCUGUUCCCAUGCCGAACACAGAAGUUAAGCUCUUUAGCGCCGAUAAGUAUAUUUAUCACAAGCAUUACCUUAU